rnacentral:rRNA from 1 species
UACGUAGGCGACAAGCGUUGUCCGGAAUUACUGGGCGUAAAGGGCUCGUAGGCGGCCAACUAAGUCGGACGUGAAAUCCCCAGGCUCAACCUGGGAACUGCGUCCGAUACUGGAUGGCUUGAAUCCGGGAGAGGGAUGCAGAAUUCCAGGUGUAGCGGUGAAAUGCGUAGAUAUCUGGAGGAAUACCGGUGGCGAAGGCGGCAUCCUGGACCGGCAUUGACGCUGAGGAGCGAAAGCCAGGGGAGCAAACGGG